rnacentral:rRNA from 1 species
UACGUAGGGUGCGAGCGUUAAUCGGAAUUACUGGGCGUAAAGCGUGCGCAGGCGGUUUUGUAAGCCAGAUGUGAAAUCCCCGGGCUUAACCUGGGAAUGGCAUUUGGGACUGCAAGGCUUGAGUGCGGCAGAGGAGACUAGAAUUCCUGGUGUAGCAGUGAAAUGCGUAGAUAUCAGGAGGAAUACCGAUGGCGAAGGCAGGUCUCUGGGACGUUACUGACGCUGAGACGCGAAAGCGUGGGGAGCAAACAGG